CAUGCAGGCGGUUAUACAAGUAGGAUGUGAAAGCCUGGGGCUCAACCUCAGAACUGCAUUCUAAACUGUGUGACUAGAGUAUUGCAGGGGGAGACGGAAUUUCAGGUGUAGCGGUGGAAUGCGUAGAUAUCUGAAAGAACACCAAAGGCGAAGGCAGUCUCCUGGGCAAAUACUGACGCUCAUAUGCGAAAGCGUGGGUAGCAAACAG
rnacentral:rRNA from 1 species